rnacentral:misc_RNA from 1 species
AUGCGAUAAGUAGUGUGAAUUGCAGAAUUCAGUGAAUCAUCGAAUCUUUGAACGCACAUUGCGCCCCUUGGUAUUCCAUGGGGCAUGCCUGUUCGAGCGUCAUUUGUACCCUCAAGCUUUGCUUGGUGUUGGGCGUUUUGUCUUUUAAUUUAGACUCGCCUUAAAGUGAUUGGCAGCCAGUGUUUUGGUAGUAAGCGCAGCACAUUUUGCGUCUUAGUCCCCUAACAGCGGCAUCCAUAAAGCCUCUUUCUCACUUUUGACCUCGGAUCAGGUAGGGAUACCCGCUGAACUUAA